AGCUCUUGCUCUUGCUCCUUCGCCUGCUUGCAGCGUGAGACUGAGUAACUGCUAGAUCCUUGGACUUCCAUUCACAGCUGCGACUGAACAAUUGUUGGGAAUUGGGCUGCCAACUCCUGACUCCCCGCGGGACUUCCAAGGCAGCAUAACUUCAGGUCCAGACUGGGCUGUCAGGCUUUUCCAGGAAGGAUCCAGGAACCCCUUAACUAAUCCAGGCAGUGACCUGGGAGAACUCGGGAGAACCCGUGGCAGCCCCCAGCAUCCAGGAUGUUCACUCUGACCAAAGCCUUGGAAAAGGCUCUUCUCCAGCAUUUCAUAUACAUGAAGGUGAACAUCGCCUAUGCCAUCAACAAGCCAUUCCCCUUCUUCGAAGCGCUCCGGGACAAAUCCUUCAUCACUGAGAGAAUGUACAAGGAAUCUCUGGAAGCCUGUCAAAAUCUGGUCCCUCUGUCCAAAGUGGUGCACAAUAUUCUCACCAGUCUGGAGCAGACUUUCCACCCGUCAGUGCUGCUGACGUUGUUCAGCAAGGUCAACCUCCGGGAAUACCCCAGCCUGGUGGCAAUUUUCAGAAGCUUCAGAAACGUUGGUUAUACCUACGAAGAGAAAAACAGACCCCCACUGACCCUGCUUGAAGACCUGGCCAACCCAGCAGAAGGGUGCUCCCUUCAGACACUGCUGCCACCACCCCGACCCCAGAUAUCGCUGCCAAGUCAUCUGUCCUCAGCACCGAGAGUCUGUGACCCCAGAGCAACAGCACAGCCAAUCAUUGAGAUCCUGGAUGAGCAGCCCAGUCCUUCUCCCCGAGCUGUGCCUCUCCCUGGCUGCAUUCAGGAAGGAAAAACCACUCCAGUGUCCUCCAGAGAUCACCAGAGAAAAGAUAAGGAAGACUCUCGAGAGAUGCCCCACAGUCCCUCAGGACCCGAGUCAGUGGUAAAAGAUGACUCUCCAGCAGCAAAUGACCUGGAAAUGGCACAGGAAGUACCCUGCACACCUGCAAACAAGAAAGCAAGAAGAAAAAAACGUCCGAACUGGUCAAAUUCCAAAAGAAGACUGCAGAAAAAAAAGCCCCGUCAAGAUGAGAUGAUGGGAGUGGCCUCACCUGGACAUGGAGUUCAAGAGAAGCUCAAGGCGGUGAGCAGGAGGACUUUGUGGAAAGAUGACUCAUCUACGAACGUGAAGGAGGUGACCAAGACACAGAGAGCAAGGAUGAGGCGUGCCCAGACAUCCAAUUCACAAGAGAUCAGCAAAGAGGCAUCAAAAACAAGUGGUAGAAAGAGGCCCAGCACAGCACGAAGAACCACACAAUUCCAGAGAAGACCAAGAAUGACGCUGUGGAUUUCUCUCCCACACUCCCUGUGACCUGUGGUAAGGCCAAAGGGACUUUGUUCCAAGAGAAACUGAAGCAAGGAACCUCAGAAAAGUGCAUUCAGAAUGAGGCAGGAGAUUGGCUCACAGUAAAGGA